CAGCCGCCACGGGAACACGGAGGGGGCUAGCGUUGUUCGGAAUUACUGGGCGUAAAGCGUACGUAGGCGGCUUUGUAAGUUAGAGGUGAAAGCCUGGUGCUCAACACCAGAACUGCCUUUAAGACUGCAUCGCUUGAACGUCGGAGAGGUGAGUGGAAUUCCGAGUGUAGAGGUGAAAUUCGUAGAUAUUCGGAAGAACACCAGUGGCGAAGGCGGCUCACUGGACGACUGUUGACGCUGAGGUACGAAAGCGUGGGGAGCAAACAGGAUUAGAUACCCCCGUAGUCCCUGUCUCUUAUAC
rnacentral:rRNA from 1 species